GGAGAGGUGCCGGAGCGGCUGAUCGGGCCGGUUUCGAAAACCGGUUGUACCGUAAGGUACACGGGGGUUCGAAUCCCCCCCUCUCCG
rnacentral:tRNA from 1 species